UUCUACGUAUCACUAGAAACAUAUUAAAGAUUUUAAAAUUAGAAUUAAACUCAAUUGAAAUCUUGAAAAAAUUUAGAACCAAACAUAGGUUGAUAAAAAUAGCAGAAAAAGCUACGGGCAUAAAAUAAAUCAUAUAUACCAGGCCGGCGAUGGCGAGAUUUGCUGCUCUUGGCUCCCAUAUCUUAGUCACUAAUAAUUUGUUAAGCUUUGAAGAAUUACAGUAAUGGUGAGUCUAGGGAUUAUUGUUUAUAUAUAGUGGUUGCGUUGCUUAAUUUUGGAAGAAGAAAUCUGCCCUUUGCAAGCAAGUAAAAUUUAGGAAAUUUUCUCCAUUACGGAAAAGUGGAAAAAAGAAAGAAUAUAGGUUGUCAUUAAUAAGUCUCACUUAAAAGGAGAAAAAUCUCUUUCUUAAAAUGCUAAUUUAUCUCUCUUUUAGCUUUGAGAAUCCAAAUCAGACAUUAAUUGGAACUAUAGUUUUAGGAAAAUGGAAGCUUAUUGGUAUUAAUGCUCGUAGGGAACCAAACAUAAUGGGAAAUUAAAUCUUGAAUUUUUUGCCGUUAUUUGCAAAAGCCUUGUUUUUGUC
rnacentral:lncRNA from 1 species